rnacentral:rRNA from 1 species
AACGAACGCUGGCGGCAUGCCUAACACAUGCAAGUCGAACGAGACCUUCGGGUCUAGUGGCGCACGGGUGCGUAACGCGUGGGAACCUGCCCUUAGGUUCGGAAUAACUCCCCGAAAGGGGUGCUAAUACCGGAUAAUGUCUUCGGACCAAAGAUUUAUCGCCUUUGGAUGGGCCCGCGUUGGAUUAGCUAGUUGGUAGGGUAAAAGCCUACCAAGGCGACGAUCCAUAGCUGGUCUGAGAGGAUGAUCAGCCACACUGGGACUGAGACACGGCCCAGACUCCUACGGGAGGCAGCAGUGGAGAAUAUUGGACAAUGGGCGAAAGCCUGAUCCAGCAAUGCCGCGUGAGUGAUGAAGGCCGUAGGGUUGUAAAGCUCUUUUACCCGGGAUGAUAAUGACAGUACCGGGAGAAUAAGCGCCGGCUAACUCCGUG